rnacentral:rRNA from 1 species
GAUGAACGCUGGCGGCGUGCCUAAUACAUGCAAGUCGAGCGAACAGACGAGGAGCUUGCUCCUCUGACGUUAGCGGCGGACGGGUGAGUAACACGUGGAUAACCUACCUAUAAGACUGGGAUAACUUCGGGAAACCGGAGCUAAUACCGGAUAAUAUAUUGAACCGCAUGGUUCAAUAGUGAAAGACGGUUUUGCUGUCACUUAUAGAUGGAUCCGCGCCGCAUUAGCUAGUUGGUAAGGUAACGGCUUACCAAGGCAACGAUGCGUAGCCGACCUGAGAGGGUGAUCGGCCACAAUGGAACUGAGACACGGUCCAGAGUCCUACGGGAGGCAGCAGUAGGGAAUCUUCCGCAAUGGGCGAAAGCCUGACGGAGCAACGCCGCGUGAGUGAUGAAGGUCUUCGGAUCGUAAAACUCUGUUAUUAGGGAAGAACAAAUGUGUAAGUAACUAUGCACGUCUUGACGGUACCUAAUCAGAAAGCCACGGCUAACUACGUG